AGAGCGAACGCUGGCGGCAGGCCUAACACAUGCAAGUCGAGCGCCCCGCAAGGGGAGCGGCAGACGGGAGAGUAACACGUGGGAACGUACCCUUUGGUUCGGAACAACACAGGGAAACUUGUGCUAAUACCGGAUAAGCCCUUACGGGGAAAGAUUUAUUGCCAAAGGAUCGGCCCGCGUCUGAUUAGCUUGUUGGUGAGGUAACGGCUCACCAAGGCUACGAUCAGUAGCUGGUCCGAGAGGAUGAUCAGCCUCACUGGGACUGAGACACGGCCCAGACUCCUACGGGAGGCAGCAGUGGGGAAUAUUGGACAAUGGGCGCAAGCCUGAUCCAGCCAUGCCGCGUGGAUGAUGAAGGCCCUAGGGUUGUAAAGUCCUUUCGACGGGGAAGAUAAUGACGGUACCCGUAGAAGAAGCCCCGGCUAACUUCGUGCCAGCAGCCGC
rnacentral:rRNA from 1 species